rnacentral:rRNA from 1 species
GAAGCAACGCGAAGAACCUUACCAGGUCUUGACAUCCCGAUGCUAUUCCUAGAGAUAGGAAGUUUCUUCGGAACAUCGGUGACAGGUGGUGCAUGGUUGUCGUCAGCUCGUGUCGUGAGAUGUUGGGUUAAGUCCCGCAACGAGCGCAACCCCUAUUGUUAGUUGCCAUCAUUAAGUUGGGCACUCUAGCGAGACUGCCGGUAAUAAACCGGAGGAAGGUGGGGAUGACGUCAAAUCAUCAUGCCCCUUAUGACCUGGGCUACACACGUGCUACAAUGGUUGGUACAACGAGUCGCGAGUCGGUGACGGCAAGCAAAUCUCUUAAAGCCAAUCUCAGUUCGGAUUGUAGGCUGCAACUCGCCUACAUGAAGUCGGAAUCGCUAGUAAUCGCGGAUCAGCACGCCGCGGUGAAUACGUUCCCGGGCCUUGUACACACCGCCCGUCACACCACGAGAGUUUGUAACACCCGAAGUCGGUGAGGUAACCUUUUAGGAGCCAGCCGCCUAAGGUGGG